CUUUCUUCUGAUGAGUGAACAGCCUCACCGGAACUUCCCCAUCCUCCUGGCUUGGUUCCUGAAGUGGCCCAAGGCUGCCUUCUCCCUCCCGUGGGUGAACAGGGUCACUGCUUCCUCUCUUGUCCAGGCCCCCUGGCCUGACCCUGAGUCCCGGGCGUAACGGCGUUGUUGAACCACCACAACCCCAGGCGGCGCCUUCCUCUUGGCCCAGGGGCUCUCUUGGGGACAGUGUGCAGUACUCCCCAAGGGGGCUUUGCUGUGCAAAAGCAGCCCCUGCCGAUGCUGCGGCUCCCGUGGAUGGAGCACUGCCGUGGGAACAGAGUUGGAACUCAUCCAAAAGAAUAAAAGACAACUGUGUUGGAAGAUUGCCAAGGUUUGUAGCUGUGCCACCGCAGACUUCAGAGAUGAACACUGCCUUGGAGACGAGGAGGAUUCAAGUUGCAGAAGCAUUUAGAAACCUCAAACUUGAGACACGGUGGGAAAUCAGGAAGACAUGAGGCUUUGCUCAACACUGGAGAACACCAGUUCUUUUCAGUUUGUAUGCAUCUUUAUCAGGUAGACACAAACAAAGAGGCAACAAAGAAAUUAGAAGGUUGUAUAAGAAGCUGCAUAGAAUCACAAUGACUGCGUUGUCCUGAAACCAACCCAGGUGACUUUCUGAAUAAGUUGGUGCUCAAUUAAUUUACUGUUAACUAGUACUCCUAUAGCUAGCUACAUUGCUUUCUAGUUCCAAUUAGACCAUUAGGAAGUUUGGCAAGUUGAACUUUUCUCUGUGUCUCAAAUCUGCCAUUCUUCAAAUGGAGAGAAAGAAUCUGAACUUCACAGGGAGUAAAACACUUUGAAAUGUAAAUAUAAAUGUAGAUGCAUAUA
rnacentral:lncRNA from 1 species